UACGUAGGGUGCGAGCGUUGUCCGGAUUUAUUGGGCGUAAAGAGCGUGUAGGCGGCCAGAUAGGUCUGCUGUGAAAACUCGAGGCUCAACCUCGAGCUGUCGGCGGAAACCAUAUGGCUAGAGUCCGGAAGAGGAGAGUGGAAUUCCUGGUGUAGCGGUGAAAUGCGUAGAUAUCUGGAGGAACACCGGUGGCGAAGGCGACGUCCUGGACCGGCAUUGACGCUGAGGCGCGAAAGCCAGGGAGCAAAGCGGG
rnacentral:rRNA from 1 species